rnacentral:rRNA from 1 species
CGGCAGGCUUAACACAUGCAAGUCGAACGGUAGCAGGAGAAAGCUUGCUUUUUUGCUGACGAGUGGCGGACGGGUGAGUAAUACUUGGGAAUCUGGCUUAUGGAGGGGGAUAACUACGGGAAACUGUAGCUAAUACCGCGUAGUAUCGAAAGAUGAAAGUGCGGGACCGCAAGGCCGCAUGCCAUGAGAUGAGCCCAAGUGGGAUUAGGUAGUUGGUGGGGUAAAGGCCUACCAAGCCUGCGAUCUCUAGCUGGUCUGAGAGGAUGGCCAGCCACACUGGAACUGAGACACGGUCCAGACUCCUACGGGAGGCAGCAGUGGGGAAUAUUGCGCAAUGGGGGGAACCCUGACGCAGCCAUGCCGCGUGAAUGAAGAAGGCCUUCGGGUUGUAAAGUUCUUUCGGUAUUGAGGAAGGUUGAUGUAAUAAUAGUGCAUCAAAUUGACGUUAAAUACAGAAGAAGCACCGGCUAACUCCGUG